rnacentral:rRNA from 1 species
AGUGAACGCUGGCGGUAGGCCUAACACAUGCAAGUCGAACGGCAGCACAGUAAGAGCUUGCUCUUACGGGUGGCGAGUGGCGGACGGGUGAGGAAUACAUCGGAAUCUACUUUUUCGUGGGGGAUAACGUAGGGAAACUUGCGCUAAUACCGCAUACGACCUACGGGUGAAAGCAGGGGAUCUUCGGACCUUGCGCGAUUGAAUGAGCCGAUGUCGGAUUAGCUAGUUGGCGGGGUAAAGGCCCACCAAGGCGACGAUCCGUAGCUGGUCUGAGAGGAUGAUCAGCCACACUGGAACUGAGACACGGUCCAGACUCCUACGGGAGGCAGCAGUGGGGAAUAUUGGACAAUGGGCGCAAGCCUGAUCCAGCCAUACCGCGUGGGUGAAGAAGGCCUUCGGGUUGUAAAGCCCUUUUGUUGGGAAAGAAAAGCAGCAGGUUAACACCCCGCUGUUCUGACGGUACCCAAAGAAUAAGCACCGGCUAACUUCGUG